rfam:Gossypium arboreum cultivar AKA8401 contig_6398_3, whole genome shotgun sequence.
AACCUAUGAUGAGGGCACCUUCUUAGAAGAUCUUUAAAUCUCUCCCAUGCAUCUACAAUGUCUCAAGCUCAAAUUGGGUAAAAGAAGAGAUGUCAUUCCUCAACUU